CGGGGUGUAGCGCAGUUGGCUAGCGCGUAUGCAUGGGGUGCAUGAGGUCGCAGGUUCAAGUCCUGUCACCCCGA
rfam:Peregrinibacteria bacterium GW2011_GWA2_44_7 TW70_C0010, whole genome shotgun sequence.